rnacentral:rRNA from 1 species
GAUGAACGCUGGCGGCGUGCCUAAUACAUGCAAGUCGAGCGAACGGACGAGAAGCUUGCUUCUCUGAUGUUAGCGGCGGACGGGUGAGUAACACGUGGAUAACCUACCUAUAAGACUGGGAUAACUUCGGGAAACCGGAGCUAAUACCGGAUAAUAUUUUGAACCGCAUGGUUCAAAAGUGAAAGACGGUCUUGCUGUCACUUAUAGAUGGAUCCGCGCUGCAUUAGCUAGUUGGUAAGGUAACGGCUUACCAAGGCAACGAUGCAUAACCGACCUGAGAGGGAGAUCGGCCACACUGGAACUGAGACACGGUCCAGACUCCUACGGGAGGCAGCGGUAGGGAAUCUUCCGCAAUGGACGAAAGCCUAACGGAGCAACGCCGCGUGAGUGAUGAAGGUCUUCUGAUCGUAAAACUCUGUUAUUAGGGAAGAACAUAUGUGUAAGUAACUGUGAACAUCUUGACGGUACCUAAUCAGAAAGCCACGGCUAACUACGUG